GAGCAUUGCAUGUUUGCUAUAAAUAAGAACUGAAUAUUUCUUGAUUGCAAAAGUAAAAGACAUAGGUGAUGAUGAAAUCAAUUAUGUGAUCAUACCUGUGCCCCAAGGAAAUAUAAAAAAUAAGCUGAAUUACAAAUGAGGUUUUGACAGAGAGAGAGAGAGAGAGAGAGAGAGAGAGAGAGAGAGAGAGAGAAGCAGACUGUGAUCCUGGUACUGGACUCCCUGAGAAAAGUAGAUGCUUUAUUUGUAAGCAGUUAUAAAGAUAAUUGUCACCAGUUUUGGUGCCCAGGCCAUUCUCUCAGCUCUCUUAAAGGAAUUCUGUAUCAGACUCCCAGACAGUCUUCAUUGCUGCCUUUCUAUUAGGGGACUCCAACAUUUAUGUGUGUGUAUAAUGUAUGUAUGCAUUAUAUGCAUAUACACACAUGUAUAAUAUAAACACAUGAAUAUAAUAUGUAUUCUCAAAUGGAUGUGUGAUAUCAACUCUUUGCAAAGAUAGGACAGAAGCAGCUAGACAAUAAAGUAGAUAUAGAGCACUAGAUUCACCAAGAACAGAAUUCAAUUCUGAUCUCAGAAACUUAGUAAUUGCAAGAUACUGGCAAAAUCAAUUAACCCUUUUCUGCCUUGUUUUCUUCAUCUGUAAAACAGAGAUAAUAUCAAAGUUAUUGUGAGGAUAAAUUAAGAUAAUAUUUUUAAGCAUUCAUUUACUUUUAUAAAAAAGAUUCCACUCAUAAUGAUCCAUCAUCCUUUUUUGUUGAAUUUUGCAAUUUAUAUUCUAAUUCAAUGUGAAUCUUCAUUUGACAAGAAAGCUAGAUUAAGAUGUAUUAUAGUGGGGUUUUUUUUGGUUUCUUUGCUGCUGAAAAUGUCAUCUCUUGUGACUGUUUCCCAUUUCAUAUUUUGAAUUACUUGUUUAAUAAUUCUAGGAGAUCAGAAUGUCAUAUUAUUCAAAUAUUAUCCAAUAAUGUUCACUGGCAUUUCACUGGUUACAAUUUUUUUCAUAACUAGUACUAAACAUUUUUUUAUUUAAACACAUUUUUGAUAUCCACAAUAAUGAAUAAUAGUAUGAUUUGUGUUAUAGUUUAAGAGAGAUAAGGUAAAUCCAUCAGCUUUCUGCCUACUAUAUUUUAAAUAAUUUUCAUGAUAUACUGGAUAAUAAUAAUCCAUGCAUUUGCUAUUAGAUAGCCCUUUCUUUACAGUAAACUUCUGAAACUUUCAAUACAAUUCUAUCAUAGAAAAAUGAUUUGCUUAUUAUUAUAUUGACUUAUCAUUAAAAACAUAAAAUUAUGAAAAAUGUAAAAUAACAUAAUUUUAAGAGUUAAGAAAUUCUGAUUUCUCCUUCCUGAAACCCAAAGAUUAACAUAUGCCAGGAAUUUAGAAACAUUAUUAUUCAAACUAUUUUUAUUUAAAACUUCCUUGCAAUUUUUUUCCCUGUGGGGAAAGGACCAAAGGCUAAGGUAAAAAGGGGCAAUAAAUGUGGCAAAAGAAGGCA
rnacentral:lncRNA from 1 species